CAUGCAAGUCGAGCGAGAAAGUGACUUCGGUCACGAGUAAAGCGGCGAACGGGUGAGUACAACGUGGAUAAUCUACCCUAGGGUCUGGGACAACCCCGAGAAAUCGGAGCUAAUACCGGAUAAGACCACAGUAUCCAAGGAUACAGUGGUAAAAGAUUUAUCGCCUUUGGAUGAGUCCACGUCCCAUCAGGUAGUUGGUAAGGUAAAAGCUUACCAAGCCUAAGACGGGUAGCCGGCCUUAGCGGGCGAACGGCCACAUGGGGACUGAGACACGGCCCUGACUCCUACGGGAGGCAGCAGUGGGGAAUAUUGGGCAAUGGGCGAAAGCCUGACCCAGCGAUGCCGCGUGAGGGAUGAAGGCCUUCGGGUCGUAAACCUCUGUCAGGAGGGACGAUGGGACACUUGUGUCUUGACGGUACCUCCAGAGGAAGCCCCGGCUAACUCCGUGCCAGCAGCCGCGGUAAUACGGAGGGGGCAAGCGUUGCUCGGAAUUACUGGGCGUAAAGGGUCCGCAGGCUGUCAGGCAAGUUGGUUGUGAAAGCUCAAGGCUUAACCUUGGAAUUGCAUCCAAAACUGCCUGACUAGAGUCCAAGAGAGGUUGGCGGAAUUCCCGGUGUAGCGGUGAAAUGCAUAGAUAUCGGGAGGAACACCAGAGGCGAAGGCGGCCAACUGGCUUGGAACUGACG
rnacentral:rRNA from 1 species